AUGGGAGCCCACCCCCCAAUGAUGAAGUCACAGUGUCUUCAUUUAUUGUUUAUAGGUUCAUGUGAUACAGAUAGAGCUGGAAAGAACAUGAGAGGCCAUGGAAUUCAACUCCUAUAUUUAUAGAUGAAAAACCUGACGCCAAAUUCCUCCAAGUUCUUCUGGAUCACUGCAUUGCCACUAAUGGAGAAGUCAAUUCCAUUCGAUUAUGCCACAGUGUAUCUGUCUCUGUGUACAAUGUUCUCCUGGUUCUGCUCCUCUCACUCUGCAUCACUUCGUGGAGGUUGUUCCAGUCUCCAUGGAAUUCCUCCACUUUAUUAUUCCUUUUGGCACAAUUGUAUUCCAUCACCAACAUAUACCACAAUUUGUUCAGCCAUUCCCCAAUUGAAGGGCAUCCCCUCAUUUUCCAACUUUUUGCCACCAGAAAGAGUGUCGCUAUGAAUAUUCUUGUACAAGUCUUUUUCCUUAUUAUCUUUAUUAUCUCUUUGGGGUACAAACCCAGCAGUACUGUGGCUGGAUCAUAGGUCAGAAAGUCUUUUAUCGCCCUUUGGGCAUAAUUCCAAAUUGCUCUCCAGAAUGGUUGGAUCAAUUCACAACUCUACCAGCAAUGCAUUAAUGAUCCUACUUUGCCACAUCCCCUCCAGCAUUCAUUACUUUCUUUUGCUGUCAUGUUAGCCAAUCUGCUAGGUGUGAGGUGAUACCUCAGAGUUGUUUUGAUUUGCAUCUCUCUGAUUAUAAGAGAUUUAGGACACUUUUUCAUGUGCUUACUAAUAGUUUUGAUUUCUUUAACUGAAAAUUGCCUAUUCAUGUCCCUUGCCCAUUUAUCAAUUGGAGAAUGGCUUGAUUUUUUGUACAAUUGGUUUAGCUCUUUAUAAAUUUAAGUAAUUAGACCUUUGUCAGAGGUUUUUGUUAUGAAAAUUGUUUCCCAAUUGGUUGCUUCUCUUCUUUUUUUUUUCUUUUUUUUUAAAAAAACCCUUACCUUCCGUCUUGGAGUCAAUACUGUGUAUUGGCUCCAAGGCAGAAGAGUGGUAAGGGCUAGGCAAUGGGGGUUAAGUGACUUGCCCAAGGUCACACAGCUAGGAAGUGGCUGAGGCCAGAUUUGAACCUAGGACCUCCCAUCUCUAGGCCUGGCUCUCAAUCCACUGAGCUACCCAGCUGCCCCCAGGUUGCUUCUCUUCUAAUUUUGUUUGCAUUGUUUUUUUUUUGUAUAAAACCUUUUUAACUUGAUGUAAUCAAAAUGAUUGAUUUUACAUUUUGUGAUUUUUUCUAGCACUUGCUUGGUUUUAAAGUCUUUCCUUUCCCAAAGAUCUGACAUGUAUAAUAUUCUGUUCACCUAAUUUGCUUAUAGUUUCCUUCUUUAUAUUCAGGUCAUUCACGCAUUCUGAGUUUAUCUUGGUGUUGGGUGUGUGAUCCAAACCUAAUCUCUCCCACACUGUCUUCC
rnacentral:lncRNA from 1 species